UACGUAGGGGGCUAGCGUUGUCCGGAUUUAUUGGGCGUAAAGAGCGUGUAGGCGGUUUGGUAGGUCCGUUGUGAAAACUCGAGGCUCAACCUCGAGACGCCGAUGGAAACCAUCAGACUAGAGUCCGGAAGAGGAGAGUGGAAUUCCUGGUGUAGCGGUGAAAUGCGCAGAUAUCAGGAAGAACACCAGCGGCGAAGGCGGCGCUCUGGGCCGGUACUGACACUGAGGAGCGAAAGCGUGGGGAGCGAACAGG
rnacentral:rRNA from 1 species